AACUUGACGUUAACCUCGUUACAACUGUACCAAAAAAAAAAAAACUUUCCAUCGUACCCUUUUUUUCUGGCUAACAUUAGCCGGACUGCUAGCUAACCACCCGGCGUCGUCCCAAAUACAACGGACAGAUGUGCACAAGUUAGUUUCGCCACGUAACAAGCUAGCUAAGCGUUAUCAAUUUUACGGUUCAAAUCGUUUUGACAGCUGUGGAUGCUGAACUCACCCUCUCUGCCAGACAGGGACAUACAGAGACGGUUUAGAACAAAUAGUAGGCCUAUAAAGGAUCUUUGGGACAGGUUUCAGGACAACUGCAUGGCAACGGGACGCUUCUGAAGAAACACUGCUCUCUAAUUGGUCCGCUGUGAAGCGUGCGAAAACCCACGGAAACUCCGCGCGAGAUCCAAAGGACUGGCGCGAGAAAGACAGGAGCAUGGAGCCAACACUAUUAUUAUACACCUGAAUUAUUCCUGCCUGGCACUGUUUAAAACUAGGAGCCUCCAGCAGGAGGCAGCACUAGUACACCUCAAAUCAUACACAUGAACCACAAGAGCCUUUCAUCUUCUCUCCUCCUGUCCAUAAACACACCACCCUAUGACCAGUUCCAUACCAGUUUCACAUCAGCUACCUGCACCUGUUGAUUUGAUUGACGUUUUUACUUCUGAGAGUCA